rnacentral:tRNA from 1 species
UGCUGAAUGGCCGAGCGGUCUAAGGCGCUGCGUUCAGGUCGCAGUCUCCAUUGGAGGCGUGGGUUCAAAUCCACUUCUGACAG